rnacentral:rRNA from 1 species
AGAGUGAACGCUGGCGGUAGGCCUAACACAUGCAAGUCGAACGGCAGCACAGUAGGAGCUUGCUCUUACGGGUGGCGAGUGGCGGACGGGUGAGGAAUACAUCGGAAUCUACCUUUUGGUGGGGGAUAACGUAGGGAAACUUACGCUAAUACCGCAUACGCCCUUCGGGGGAAAGCCGGGGACCAGCAAUGGCCUGGCGCUGAUAGAUGAGCCGAUGUCGGAUUAGCUAGUUGGUGAGGUAAUGGCUCACCAAGGCGACGAUCCGUAGCUGGUCUGAGAGGAUGAUCAGCCACACUGGAACUGAGACACGGUCCAGACUCCUACGGGAGGCAGCAGUGGGGAAUAUUGGACAAGUGGGCGCAAGCCUGAUCCAGCCAUACCGCGUGGUGAAGAAGGCCUUGGUUGUAAACGCCCGUUUUAGUUAGGAAAGAAAGCAAGUUACGGUAAGUACCCGGUGUUCUGACGUACCAAAGAAUAAGCACCGACUAAC